CAUUCGCGAUUCUCCUGCAGGUCGUCAUCGAGAAAAAUUUUCUGGACGCGUACGCCAUUUCCUUUGUUGAAGUCGAGGCGUGCAGAUGUUGCACAUGUACAAUAAAUAAAACACAUGGUGUGAAUUGCAACUGAAAUCUGUUAAGGAAGGGGUGGUAUGGUGCUGUACAAGAUGUAUAUCCUCAACAAUUGCAUAGGAAACUAGACCUGCAGCUGGAGACUACGUCUGCGGCUGCCACCCACAUCCAGGACAACAUAUGUCUGUAAGUCCACAGAACAGCACUCACCGAAUGUGGCGAAGAAUUCUCUGAUUGAAACUUGUUCCAUAAUCACAACUAGCACAUUUAAGAUUCUUCUAAACGAAUUUAUUAAUGCAAGUGUAUAAUAAAGUUUAGUUUUGCAUUGUAAUUGCAAUGGGAACAUUUUAAAUCCUUGGGUGUAUGUGAGGGGGUUGCUUUAGAUUAAGCAACCCUUAUAAUUGGUUGCUUAAUUGCACUGUACACAUUUUUAAUCUUUGAAGUUAUUUAAUUAUUCAUGUGUAUAUUAAACAUGUUACUUAAAUCUCUGUAAUAAAAGAAAUAAAGAUGGAGAACGUG